GACGAACGCUGGCGGCGUGCUUAACACAUGCAAGUCGAACGGAAAGGCCCUGCUUUUGUGGGGUGCUCGAGUGGCGCACGCGUGAGUAACACGUGUGUAACCUGCCCUUGACUUUGGGAUAACUUCAGGAAAAUGGGGCUCAUACCCGGUAGGAUCUCCUGCUGCAUGGUGUGGGUUGGAAAAUUUCGGCGGUUGGGGAAGGACUCGCGGGUUAUCCGCUUGUUGGUGGGGUAGUGGCUUACCAAGGCUUUGAAGGGUAGCCGGCCUGAGAGGGUGACCGGCCACAUUGGGACUGAGAUACGGACCAGACUCCUACGGGAGGCAGAAGUGGGGAAUAUUGCACAAUGGGCGGAAGCCUGAUGCAGCAACGCCGCGUGCGGGAUGACGGCCUUCGGGUUGUAAACCGCUUUCGCCGGUGACGAAGCGUGAGUGACGGUAAUGGGUAAAGAAGCACCGGCUAACUACGUG
rnacentral:rRNA from 1 species